UACGGGGGGGGCGAGCGUUGUUCGGAAUUACUGGGCGUAAAGGGUUUGUAGGUGGUCUGCUAAGUCAGACGUGAAAUCCCUCAGCUUAACUGGGGAACUGCGUCUGAUACUGGCGGACUUGAGGACAGGAGAGGAACGCGGAAUUCCAGGUGUAGCGGUGAAAUGCGUAGAUAUCUGGAGGAACACCGGUGGCGAAGGCGGUUCUCUGGGAAUUACCUGACGCUGAGGAGCGAAAGCAUGGGGAGCGAACAGG
rnacentral:rRNA from 1 species